UGCUUCUUUUCGAUAAUCUAUGAAAAAUAUUAUUCUGUCUUUUGACAAACCCAAGGAGGGCCGAUCCCCUCAAAGCGAUCAAGGAGGGCCGAUCCCCUCGAAGCAAUCAAGGAGGGCCGAUCCCCUCGAAGUGAUCAUUAUCAUCCUCAUUUCUCUUCUUUCUUCGACGAUAAGACUUUAGGGUCUUAUCAUUUGGUAUCAGAAUGACGAUAAGACCUUUAGGGUCUUAUCAUUUGGUAUCAGAGUCUACGAUAAGACUUUAGGGUCUUAUCAUUUGGUAUCAGAG
rnacentral:lncRNA from 1 species